AAUUGUGACUAUGGAUUAUUACUUCAAUACGAUACUGACGAUUCACGCAAUAUGCCGUAUCCAUAGUUUUAUUACUCUUAGUUCUAUCCAGUGAGCACAUUAAAAUUAGAAUUAUUCUUCAUCUUUACAAUAAUUAACUAAGGGGAAGUUUUCCCGAAUUUUUGAUAAAUAACCCUGCGUACCGUGACGCACCGCACAACCGACCGGCCUACCAGACGUCAGAGUCCCCAGUAAGGUAGGACUAUAUUAUGUUGGCAGUUUGGCACCACUGUGUUUUGUAGUGUGCGUGGAGUUUUUCACCCUUCACCACCGCUCAAGGCAAAGUACCACGACAAACUACCUGUCGCGCCCUGCGGACACCUGUGACUGACGCUAUAAGUGUACGUCUAUAGUGUACAGAUGAACGGUAACGCUGCCGUCGCAUUACUGUUGUGUCUGGCGUCCGAACACAGGUCCGGCGACGGCCAACACAUAUAGUGGAGAAUUUCAGAUACCGGUAUAACCAUCGGAAAGCUGUUUUAUACUUCAAAAAACCUCAUUAGUAGGCCGUCAACCACACCUGCACUAUCGAUGUAACUAGUGUUCAAUAAUGACGGGUCGUUACUACGGUCGCGUUUCUGUUGUGUCUGCCAUCGGAGCACAUGUCAAGGCAAUGUCAAACAUAAAUGCCGGAACUUGUCGGAAUCUGUAUAGUCACCGUUGAAAGCUGUUCACCGGUCCAAUUAACUAUCAGAGGAAGGGAAAAUUGUGUUACUUACUGGAAUCCCGUAAUUCAUUGAAUCAAAGAUUACAAAGUUGAACAAUUGUAUUUAUGAAGUAUUUUUCUCAAGCAUCAAAAUUAAUUCAACGCAGCAGUAUUUAUUAAAAAAUAAUAAUUUGUAGUGUUUUCUUCCGGUAUAAAUUAGUCUUAAAGUGAGUUUUGCUAUGUUAUCAAAACUCGCAUUAGGAUUUAUACCAGGGAAAAACCCUAUAAAUGAUUAAUUUUUAAUACGCCGGAGAAAAUUUUUAUUCUCAUCCUUUAAAUAUAUAUUUUUAAAUUUGUUUAAUUUAUAGUUCAGUACAACUUACAAGAUACGCUUGGUUUAUAAGAAAAAUACUACAAAUUAUUCAUUA